AUGGGCACCCAUUGCCAUCGCCGCACAAGUUGAGUUGAGUCAACCACUCACCACAUCAAACCCCUCCCAGACCCAUUAAAGCAUGCCGGUAGGAUUUACCGGAUUUGACCGGACCAAAAAAUGUGGAGAUUUCAGAGUAGAUGUAACGGUAUCCUUUUACUCAUAUGAAGGACUCAUUUACUCCUAUAAAAGACUCCCUCGGUGCGACUUUUUGUCAUGCCUUCAGAUUGCAUCACUUAUUAAUUUGGCAUGAAUAGAUGAGAACAAACAUGAACUAUAUGAUUUAAGAUAAUAAUACAACAUCCCUUUUAAAUUUGUAGUCUAAUUUUCUAAUCCGUAGCAUUGUACGGGUAUUGUGCUAGUGAGACUGAGAAAGAGAGAGUUCUGCAUGUCUUGAUGUUUCAACUCGCGGUUUGCAUGGUCCAUUUUGUCUGGGCUGAGAAUGGCAGGGUCUAGAAAUAGUGAGCGGUCAAUUCCAAACUUAUAAGUACGGAGUAGAAAAGAUGCCACGCACUGUGAAUUUUACCUGCCCUGCACUGCUCGCCAAACAAUCCAGCGAAUUUCAACGUUCCCGGCAGCAGGAGCCGAAAUUUCCGUGACACACACAGACCCGGUCUGGGUGUAGAUUUCCCGACGUCAGCCCAAAGUGCAAGCACGAUCCAACGUAGAUCUCUUCGUUGAUUUCCCUAUCUUUCUUUUAAGUUCUUUUCCAUCAGCAGCGCUUGGCGCGCUUCACCUGGCUGACGACGCUCCAAACGCCAAAGUUCCCCGUGCCUGAGGUAAUUAACGCACCGAAACUCCGAAAGAGAGAUUCGACAACACCGCGGGACGAAAACAGUUUGUCAAACAACGAUUCACGCGCGGAUGAUCGCCUUUCGAUCUGUACUAGUUUAAUUUCUC
rnacentral:lncRNA from 1 species